UACGUAGGGUGCGAGCGUUAAUCGGAAUUACUGGGCGUAAAGCGUGCGCAGGCGGUUCGUUAUGUCCGAUGUGAAAGCCCCGAGCUUAACUUGGGAAUGGCAUUGGAAACUGGCGGGCUGGAGUGCGGCAGAGGGGGGUGGAAUUCCACGUGUAGCAGUGAAAUGCGUAGAGAUCAGGAAGAACACCAGUGGCGAAGGCGACUACCUGGCCUGUUCUUGACGCUGAGGCGCGAAAGCUAGGGGAGCAAACGGG
rnacentral:rRNA from 1 species